rnacentral:rRNA from 1 species
UACGUAGGGACCGAGCGUUGUCCGGAAUCAUUGGGCGUAAAGAGCGCGCAGGCGGUCGAUCAAGUCGCGUGUGAAAGCCCCCGGCUCAACUGGGGAGGGUCACGCGAUACUGAUCGACUCGAAGGCAGGAGAGGGUAGUGGAAUUCCCGGUGUAGUGGUGAAAUGCGUAGAUAUCGGGAGGAACACCAGUGGCGAAGGCGACUACCUGGCCUGUUUCUUGACGCUGAGGCGCGAAAGCUAGGGGAGCAAACGGG